UAGGAUUUACUCACUCAUCCAAUCAGAGCCAACCAAGUAAUCAACUCAAACAUUCUCUAAACUGUAAACUGUUGUUUCUGAGUUGACCCUCCACCGCCCGACAGCCUAACCCGCUAUCCGCCACCGCCGAACCAAUGGGCUCGCCGAAAACAACCACGCCAUCAUCCCGACCAUUCCUCCACCCCAUAAUAACCCUAGACGCCACCGUCUCCCUCUUCCUCCACACACUCUUCAAACCCAUCCUCCCUACUUUCCUCCUCCUCCUUCUCGAAUACUCCGCCGAUUUCCGCUUUUCCUUCCCUGUUUCCCUCUCUAUCUAUCUUGCCUCCCCCUCGCUUUCCUCUCUAUCCAUCCCUCUCAUCCUCGGCCUCCUCCUGGACCUCGCUUUGAUCGGCCUCAUCAAACUAACCUUCCGCCGUGCCCGUCCUCAUUACAACCCCAACAUGUCCCCCGCUGUUCACGCCGACAACUUCUCUUUCCCAAGUGGCCACGCUUCACGUGUUCUUUUUUUAGCCACUCUCUUCCACCUUAUUCUUCAAAACGACGUGGGACUUGUUUCGGAUUUUAUUCGACGGUGGAUUAAAUUCGAAACCCAUUUUGUUUUAUUAGGUAUAUGGGUUUGGGCUAUAAUGACUGCUAGUUCGAGGGUUUUGCUUGGAAGACAUUUCCUUUUUGACGUUUUGGCUGGGGCGUUUCUUGGGGUACUUGAAGGGAUUGUUGCCUUUCGGUUUUUGAGGUUUUAGGAAGCGUUCUCAAAGGUAACGGAUUGAGUAUUAUUGCAAAAAUUGUACUUAUUUUUGACAUGGGAAUUCUUUUCUUUGUAAUCUUUGAUGUGAAAGUUGUUGAUAAUUCAAUUUCAUACGAAGUAUUUUAUGAUAAUCACAUUGUGUGUUGCUUUCAAAAUUUUAUUUUCAUGUGCAAAUUAUAAGCUUGAGAAAUGUCUGUGCAAUAAUUUUCCUUUUGCUGUCAUUAAAGCAUAAGACUGGGUAUGGUUACAUUCGUCAGUCUACUUUAUAAAUGAGCUUUAGCGUGUCUUGUUGACAUUUUUUCUUACCAAUGUCAUGUUUUUAAGUUAUUUUAGUUAUCGAUCAUAUGGGAAAGCUAAAUCUAUUUAUGAACAGAACAUGGCUUGUUAAUUGAAUGAAGUUUGAUUGCCAAAUUCUUCAUGUAAAUCAAGCUGAUCAUGGUCCUGCAUUUUAUUAAGGUUAGAGAGUUGGAGUUUGAUUAGUCCUAUGGAAUCUGUAACCUUCUUUUGAUAGAAAAGCUUUUUUAUGAAACAUUUGAAAUCACAAUUCAAGUUAUAAAUGUGUAUGCUAUCGAUAUUAUUUGCCACAUGAAUGGUUUGGUUGUAAGGAGUUCAAUUGGCUAGUUCUAGUAUUUCUUUCUCCAAUACUUUGGCUAACAAGGCAAAUAUAUAUAUUUUUUAUGGUAAUUUGUUUCUGUUCUUUGGUAACUUGGGAUUUAGUUAAACUUGAUUAAUUGUCCCUGUAAGAUGAUUUCAUAAUUGCAAAGGAUAUAUUUGCGCUGGAAGUUAUUUGAUCUAUAUUUCAGUUGCUUCAUCACUAUGGCCCAAUGUAGUUGCAUUUUUUACAUAAACUGUAUACCAUAAUUUCAGCAAUUUAGUGGAGGCUUACCUCUCCAUUUUUGAGUUGUUGACAAUUAGUUAAACAGAUUACUUGAAUUUCCUCAUUUCUUUCAUUUAAUAAACUAAUAAAAUCAUGAAAGAUGCCAAAUUUAAGUUAUUUUCUUAUAUUUUAUUUGAAUUUUGUAGCUCUCUUUUAUGAAUCAUGUAAACAACUUUGUCAUCAAAAGAUUUGUGUCUGGAGAGUGUAAUGAUAGAUAUAUGUAGAUGGGAGUGUCAGAUGAAAUUUAGUUUUCUGUUUUCCUAGUCCCGCCCUACUUGUGCCUGUUCUUUCAAUAAUUUUAAUCCCAUUUGUGUAAUCCAAGGUGAUUUGUGGAUACCAGAUAUGAUUAACAUAUAUAACAAUUGUCUCUGGCUAUUUUACCGAUGAGUAUUUGACAGAAUUGUUCCUUUGGGUAUAAUUGGACUAACAGGUAGUGAAAAUCAUCCAAGGUAGAUUAAGAAUAAGUGUUUUAUAUUUUUCUUGAAACAUUUUCUGGUAAUCCUAUUUCAACUCAUUUGUGUACAUGGACAUGGAAAAGUUACUUGUGGGCCUGAGAAACUUGGUAAAAUAUUCUUUUUCAAGACAAUUUGGUGCCGUUGCCUUGCAAAGAAUCACUUAUUUGGCUAUCAUUGGACCGAUCACGGAUGCUAAUGCAGGUGAUAGUCAACUUUAAGUCCAAAUUGUAAAGGUUCUAUCUCAAGUUCAAUUAAGCCAAAUAUUUCAGUCCUUCUGUUGCUCAGCCUGUCUUUUCAAGCGCUAGGCUUUGUUCUUGCUAGCCCAUGUUUAGUGUUGGAGAAUAAACUUUCUAUUGAUCUCAUAAUAUUGGAUGCCUCCAGCAUGGUUUCAGGUUCAGGCGUGACAAAGUGACAGAGAUUGCUCUUUUUUUUUUUUUUUGCGAAAUAUUCCAUUCUUUUUUAUUAGCCUGCCUACUAAUUGUUCAAUUUUUAUGGCAUUUUCCAUUUGCAUAAGCGGAAUCACAUUGCUCUGAUGUAGUUUCUGUGAUGCCAUGUUUUUGUGAAUUCUUAUAAACAAGUCAGCUGAAGAAAUUAUUAGAAAGUUUUGUUAAUAUAUAAUUGCAUCAUUCAAUAAUGAUCUCUCUUUUAGAGUAUGAUGUGUCUCAUAUAAGUAUGUUCUGAGUAUGCAGGCCUAGUAUAAACAGCAGGGAUGGUAACCUUUUCUCUCUGUCUCCCUAAGCUUUUGUCAUAUUGUAAAUUGUUAACUUUUCCUUCAGACAUGAUAAACUUCUCAUAUUAUGAUGCUCAGAGGCUAGCAAUUGAAAAAGUAAGAAUUCACUAGAUAACUCACUAUUUUAGAAAAUUGCUUUACGUGAAAGUUAAGUAUUUUGAAGUGUGAUUUCUAGGAGAUGCUUCUCUCAGAGCCUUUUCUUUUUGGGUGGGGUAAUUUGCCUGCCUAAAAGAAUCUGAUACAUCUUGAUUGAAUCAUGAUCUCUGGACAUUGAUGCUUGGAAAAUGUUGGCGUGAUUGAUGCGCUUAUCAUUUAAAGACUGAAUUAAACUACUAGCUUUUUCUGUUUCCAUAUUCUUAAUGUAUGAUUGGCUAACUGCUUUUGAGUGCUGAGUGGUUGUUUUAAUUUGUACAAUGCAUUUUUAUGUUGAGGUUACAUAGUACUGUAGUUUACCUUUCAAAUGGUAAUAAUUAGAUUCUGCUUCUGAAUAAGGAUACUAAGUCCAAAUGAAAACGGUUUCCUCGGAGUUCUUGCCUUCUUAUUCCGAUCAAGCAUAGGAUGGUUUCUGGUUGAAUCAACCAGAGUUCUCGCAUUUACAUGUUUGACUCUACAGUUUUGGUGUAUUUUAUUUGCCUUUCGAUGGGAUUGAUUUGAACGUAAUGCUGCUCAUUUGUCAUAUCUCCUACUGGUUGCCCAUCUUUUUAGUAGAAGGAGUUGAUCAUCUCUUUAUAUGUCCCAUGUAAAUGCUUGGGCAUAUACAAAGAGAAGUAUAGAACUGUCACAUGCAGAUAUUCAGAAGGCUACUCGUACAGAAGCAAAGUGCAUAAUCGGCUAAUCCUAAGUUUACAUGGGACAUUUUAGCAGGUGUACAACAUUAGGGGCACAUGUGUUAGCUAUUAUAUUUAAGGCAUGGAGCGUAGAUGCCUGGAAGGCUCUUCCACUAGUGCUUAAAAUGUCAAUAAUUUGUUGUGGAGAUGUGUUGCUGACUGAAGAUAGGAGGUUGCUGUAGAAUGAAUGAUAGUCUGGCUUUUCUUUCUUUUAAAGCUAUCGUUGUUGGAGCUUGUCGAGUUGCGGGACAUCUGCAUAUGUGCUUUUUCCCAUAGCUUUCCCUUAUCUUAGCUUGAUCUUUUAAAAGCCGUCUUUGGUGGAAAACUAGCUGAAGCCUUUUUGGACCAAGCAGAGAACCUCAAUCAUUUCUAGGCGAGCUAGUAGAGCAUGUGUGUAUCCCGGAUUGGCCGGUUCAGAGAAAUUGAACGAGAACAAUCUGUAAUAUGAGAUUUUAUUGUAGUUUACUCACUCAACUCACUGCCUGCCAUAGCAUAUUCUAAUUACACGUAUCCCAUUUACCAAGUAUCGAAUACGUAUGGAUUGGUUCUCUGGGAAGCUUAAAUUAUUGGUUUGCUUCAUUGCCGCAUCAAUUCGUAUAUCCACAUCAAGACGGAUUUUGAUGGACUCGAGACAAGUCAGAGCUACAUGAUUACAAUCGCAAAUUUUGUAUGGAAAAUUUCAUACUUGAAAAUAAUGCUUCUUUGCUUUAGUGUUUAGUGUUGAAUUGGUUGCUGAUGAUUGGGAUAUUAUUCAGUAUGCUUUCAUCAAUUUCUACCUUUUUUUCAAGUGUUGAAUGGCAAAAACAUUUUCUCCCUUUCGAGAUUUCCUUGAAAAACAACUACAAGCUCGACACUUGUUUCGGAAAAUAUCUGAUUCUGUAUAAAUGUAUCCAAAAUGAAGUGGUCUCGACUCAGUCACCUGAUGUUUCUUCUGCUGAAUUGGAGAUACCCCUCAGAUUCUCAGAGCUUCUGAAAAGGGUAGACCAGUCAAGCCUUGGAUAGUGACCCAACUUAGGACAAGGUCUGAGCUCAGAAGCAUGGUGCUGAGCUCAUUGUCAUAUACCC